rnacentral:rRNA from 1 species
GACGAACGCUGGCGGCGUGCUUAACACAUGCAAGUCGAGCGGAAAGGCCCUUCGGGGUACUCGAGCGGCGAACGGGUGAGUAACACGUGAGUAACCUGCCCCAGACUUUGGGAUAACCCUCGGAAACGGGGGCUAAUACCGGAUACGACACAGCGUCGCAUGGGGUCUGUGUGGAAAGAUUUUCGGUUUGGGAUGGGCUCGCGGCCUAUCAGCUUGUUGGUGGGGUGAUGGCCUACCAAGGCGACGACGGGUAGCCGGCCUGAGAGGGCGACCGGCCACACUGGGACUGAGACACGGCCCAGACUCCUACGGGAGGCAGGAGUGGGGAAUAUUGCACAAUGGGCGGAAGCCUGAUGCAGCGACGCCGCGUGAGGGAUGACGGCCUUCGGGUUGUAAACCUCUUUCAGCAGGGACGAAGCGUAAGUGACGGUACCUGCAGAAGAAGCGCCGGCCAACUACGUG